UUGAAGCGUCUUGUUGAUUGAAUUUGGAUUCUUAGGUACCACAAACUGGUUUGAAGGGUAGGGACCAUUUUCUAGCUUAUUAUUUAUGGUAUUUAAGGAUUGCCUAUAUAUGUCUCUAAAAGCCUAUGAAAAUAUUAUUAUAUUCUUUAAUUUAUUAGAUCAUCAUAUUCAGACUAGAGAGGGGUCUUUCCACUUAACAUCAUCAAUGGCAGAAGUAAUCAAGAGGAUAUACCAAAUAUGAUGGUUUUUAGCCACUUUUAAGGGACAACAUUAUAGGUUAAGUGAGUGCAUAACAAGCGCUUUCACAUAUACAAAGAACAGGGUUGUCUACUUGAGUAGCAAUCGCUAAAUUAUUUAUAUCUUGAUCUAUAAAUUUUUAAAUUAAGAUGCGUUUGUUGUUUUUGAAAUAGACUCAAUAAUUUUUUUUACCAUCAAAAUUUCUGAAUUUAAUUUAAAGGAGAUUAAUACCAGUUUCUUUUUAAGUCAA